CUCCUGUACCUCUCCUCACCCCAACCUUAGACAGCUCAGCCUAACACACCAUCAUCGCCACCAUCACCAAUUCACUGUCGUCCGUUUAGACUGCUAUAUCUGAAUACCAUGACUGAUUGGCUUACAAACAACAGGAAUUUAUUUCUCAUAGUUCUGGAGGCUGGAAGUCCAAAGUCAAGGCACAGAUAGUCAUGCACAGGCUUCUAUGUCUGACUUCUGAGCCAACCACGAAGCUGACUCCUUAAAGUCUUAUUCGAGUUAAAGAAUUCAUCAGCUUUCUAAAUGUUCUUUGGAGUUCAGAAGACUAUAAACACGGUUAUGAAAACUCUGUAAUCAAGCUGCUUCCAGUCCCUUUGCUUUUGUAUGGUGGUUCCUCUUUGCCUUGUGUAAUCAUUUUCCACACUGUGUGAUGAAUCUUGCAGAGAUCUCCACAUCUCUUCCCUCUAUUUCAAUGUAGAAUCAAACCCUCUGAUUCUGAAAAAUAAUUUUAGAACUAGAUUUAAUUAUUAAAAAAAUAUUUGUCAUUUAUAUUGGACUUUGUUCUUUUUCUGUGCUUUUGCGAUUAGUAGAAUUUUCUAGCUCUAUAUUUAUGAUAAAUAGGAAAGCUGUGAUUCAAGAUGUGUGAAAAUGAUAUAUUUUUAACCCUCUUGAUUUCAUUUCUUUGGAGCAUACAAAUCACAUAGGAAUUAUAUUUAUUCAU